ACUGAAACUCCAGUGGAGAAGACAGAGGAGUAGGAUACCAUGGAUGGAUGGAUGGAUUACAUAUCUGAGUGUGACAGUGUUGGGUUUCAAGUGUCUUUUAGUUUAGAUUUCUCAAGUGGUGGUUUGAUUGUGAUAUUUGGAUCUAUUUAAUUAAGAUAAGAAUGUAGAGUGGCGAGUGAGGGAACUUAUUGGAAGCUAGGAAUAGGAAUAAAUCUCUUGGGCCCACAAAUUACAUAUCAGUGUCCACGUGGCAAACUUUUAUUGGAAGGAAGAGUUUGUAUCUUUUUUCUGCCAUGUGGUGGGUAGUGUUACUUUGUUGGAUCCAAGUAAAGUCGAUGGAUCUGGUGUUAUGCAUGUAAGUUAAUAUAGUAUAAUAAUAAUAAUAUUAUAUUAGCAUCAUUAGUCGC